UGGAAACAACUUUAUAUGCAGGAAAGGAAUAAUACACAAAGCACGCUUUUACUUACCAAGAAGAGAAGAGACAGAAUUAGCAGAUUUGAGUUUUGAUGCUAACAGAGAUGAACGAGGACCAAAACCUAAAACCCUUGAAAAUCAUAAAAAAUACAAAAUAACCUUUCCAACACAGAAAGUGAUGAGUCAUGCCCACUAAUACAGGAAGGCUCUAUGUGUUGCAUCUGUAACAAUGCCAUCUUAAAGGACAGAUGGGUUGUUUUCUUGACCAAAAAACAUUUUUUACUGAAAAUAUAUCAAAUGAAACAUGUUAAACGUGGGACUUUAACAGAACCUAAUGUCUAAAGCUGAGGGAUGAGGUCUGAAAAGGCAAAUGUUACCACUAGAAUAGAUAGAUUAAACAAGCAGUAAGCAAACUCUUAUUUAAAAAAUGUUUUUUAUAUAUUUGUUAAAACUGUUUGUUCUAUCAGCAUGAUAUGUGACAGACAAAGAGUGGAAAGAAUCCAGCUCCUCUGCGCCUCCCUGUGGACCUACUUUCAUCCGCAGACAUACAUCGCUCCCAGUCAGAGACAACCAAUCAGAGCCAGGAGGAAAGUUUUGCCGCUCUCAAUCAUGCUCGUGUGCACACUGCUCAAGAUUCUCGUUGAUCCCAGAGUGAGGCACUGCAGACAUAACACCAUCCCUCUCCAACAACUUUGACGGUGUUCUCAGCUGCCAGGAUGCAGAAGGGUCUUUGGAGGAAGAUGAUAACCCACCAGCAUCAUCCUGUCACGCUCCACUUCCUGCAAG